CUAGCCGUAAACGAUGGAUACUAGGCGUUGUGAGUAUCGACCCUCACAGUGUUGUAGCUAACGCGUUAAGUAUCCCGCCUGGGGAGUACGCGCGCAAGCGUGAAACUCAAAGGAAUUGACGGGGGCCCGCACAAGCGGUGGAGUAUGUGGUUUAAUUCGAUGCAACGCGAAGAACCUUACCAGGACUUGACAUGUCGCGAAUCUCAGGGAAACUUGAGAGUGCCUUCGGGAGCGCGAACACGGGUGGUGC
rnacentral:rRNA from 1 species